CAAACUCUCAGUCAGGGCAGCUGGGAUUUAAUGUGACCAGUUUGUUGGAAAUUAGAGCUUCUGUUGGCAGCUACUGUUUCAGUGAGGAGUUACCGGUCUUGGUGAAGACUGUGGCUCCUGUUAGCAGCUGAAUAAUCUGGAAAAGCCUUGCCGGAGAAAGAACCAGACAUGAGUCAACUUUUCAUCUCUGUUAACCACCAACAUGCUGCAUUCAGGGACACGAGCCACAUUCAUUUUGUCCUCCAGUGAUGCCUCGGGAAGCUCUGAGAAUUUGACUCCACUAACUUCAUUGCAUCUUGUUUGAAGAAUGAAAUGCAGUUGCCAUAGCAAC
ensembl:lncRNA